GCUUCUCUUCUUGCUUUGCUAUUGGGGCAGGGAUUCUAGGUGCCUCAGACCCUUGUAUGGAAGGUGGCAACAGCAGGACAGAUCAGUUAAUGAGUUUGCUGGCUGGGAUGCUAAUAGGAACAGCUAAUUUUAGAUGACUAUUAGAAGGUAUCAAUGGAAGGAAUAAUCCAUGUAGGACAUGAGAAAACUUCAGAAUUUUCAAUAUGUGGAGUUUCCUGUGAAUUUUUCCAUUGAAGGUUGGGAUGCCAGGGAUUGUCGAAAGCAAAAGAACCUGGGGAUUUUGCCACUUCAACUCAGGGAUACCUGUUUUCAGCAUGGAUCCAUACGAAGCAAGAGGGAGCCACUCUUUAGCCAUUCUAGAGAGGAAUGAAUUGUGGGGGUCAACGCUUGUAGAAAUUCAGGGAGAGGCCUAUCUCUUGGAGAGAGUGCCCAAGAAGAACA